rnacentral:rRNA from 1 species
AUUGAACGCUGGCGGUAUGCUUAAGACAUGCAAGUCGAACGGUAACAGACCUUCGGGUGCUGACGAGUGGCGGACGGGUGAGUAACACGUGGGAAUCUACCUUGUAGUGGGGGAUAAGCCAGGGAAACUUGGACUAAUACCGCAUACGCCCUAAGGGGGAAAGGAGCAAUUCGCUAUAAGAUGAGCCCGCGUCUGAUUAGCUAGUUGGUGAGGUAAAGGCUCACCAAGGCGACGAUCAGUAGCUGGUCUGAGAGGAUGGCCAGCCACAUUGGGACUGAGACACGGCCCAGACUCCUACGGGAGGCAGCAGUCGGGAAUAUUGGACAAUGGGGGCAACCCUGAUCCAGCAAUACCGCGUGUGUGAAGAAGGCCUGCGGGUUGUAAAGCACUUUUAGUAGGGAAGAUAAUGACGUUACCUACAGAAAAAGACACCGGCUAACUCCGUG